GAGACAUUAAACUGUACAGCCACCACAUUUGCUGUUUGUUUUCCUACCUGCCAUGGAACAUAUGUGAAGAUCUCAACCACCGACGUGUAUGGAGAUGUACCUACCCUAGAGAGCCUGCUAACAUUGAAACCUACUGUUAAGAGCCACUGAAAGCCACCACCCUUCUCUACAAAGCAGUUGUGGGUAUCCUUUCACACUCUCAAUGAAGACUUCCAUUUGAAAAUCAUCCAUCACACUAUAAAUCAGUCUCUUCAACACGCCUCCUGUCCAGCCAGGAGAAGAGAGGAAAGCAUUUAGGAGAUGUUCCAUUAAGCUGUUUGGUACAAAAUGGAUGAAUUACUAUUAUUUUUUCUCUCCAGCGUACCCAAGAGAGGCUGAUUCUGACCCAAACCAUUCACAUGCACUAUUUAAGAGAGACUUCAUUUCACCUCCUGCUAGGUCAGGGAGGGGCACACACCAGAGCCACACACAUAUUCACACAUCCAGUUGGCUGUGCAGCAUGAAGCACUGACCUGUUAGGCCGGCAGCCUCGGCAGACAGGAAGGCACUCCAAGAAAGCAGGAAAAACAGGCCGGUUUCCAGCAUCGGGAACUCACACAGCUUGGUAAAUUUGGAUAUCAGUGCUGUGAUGAUGGCAUACGCAGACCCCAUUGCAAAUGAGCCAGCGAAGAUUCCCAGGAAAUUCCCCACAGACUGGAAGAAUG
rnacentral:lncRNA from 1 species